UGUUAAAAUUUUCAUCAAUUUCUCCUGUUAAAAAUUAGCCAAUGUACGUCAACAUGAGGUAUAUGUGUCACUAGCAUGUUCUUCAGUUGGCUAUGCCAGUUUUUAAUAGUAUAAAUGGAUGAAAUUUUUACAA
rfam:Gossypium hirsutum cultivar TM-1 unplaced genomic scaffold scaffold559.1, whole genome shotgun sequence